AGACGCCACCUAGAUCAAAUCAAACUCCUCGUUGUGUGGCUCCUCUUGAACCACCUGUUCUUCUCCUGUGGGGGGGUGUAAGACAGCAAGGGUGAGCUCACACAUGUUCAUCGGUCAACAAGUUGUGGGGAAUAAUGUGGCAUAAACUCACCAAACAUGGGAGAUCAUGUGAAGUGUAAGGCUUACCAAAGAGAAUGGUUAAAUCUGAGCAUUGCUUUUAAAGUUGGUCAAAAUUUUAUUAGCAAUUACUAGAUGUAAGUAAAUACCAAACCAUAAUAACAAUAAUAGAACAAAAUUAAUAAUAAACCCAUGCAAAUGCAAAUGACAAAUUGAAUUUAAGUUACAUAAAUUUAUCAUGCGAGAGUCCUGAGCUGCUCUUGACCGUGAGCUCGGCUAGUAUACCAGUUUUACACUCUGCAGAGGUUGUACCCUGUACCCACAAGUCAUGUAUCCCAUGUCGCCAGGGUUAGCUAGACCCUUAGACAGUACCGAGGUGAAUGGCUAGGGAUCCACUACGAGGCCUUUACAAAGUUCAACUAGCUUCCGAAAACCCGCUACAGUUUAUGGGAAGAGCACUUGCAAGAAUCCCUCGUCUGACCACCAUCGUAGCAAAAUCAACCCGAGAACCUCCCUGCAUGCAACUCCCCUACUGCCCUUUCCCCUUUUGGGUAAGGUAGACUUCCACUAGCUUUCCUAAUUAGUCAGCCAAGGGCGUCCCGUUCCACCCUUGUGGUGGCACGUGUUUCUCAAGUUAAGCUCUAUGUUUCAAUUAAAGAUAAUGAUCUUGACAUGAACAUAAAUAACAUAACAGAAUAAUUGGAACAUGGACAUAAUGAAAUAUUAACCCAAAACCAUAUAAAGCAAUGGCAAAACUACAAGUGAUUCAGAGGUAAACAAGGUAAAAGAUAAUCAGGCUAGGAUGACCUAUUGGGUCCCAUCAAACCUAUGCAUUGAAUAGUGAUAAUAAAGAACAUUAUUGGGUAAUAAAUGUGGUCAAGGGCAUAACUUGCCUGUCACUUGAGAUUCCAGGUACCAGAAUGAUUCUUCAGAUCCUCGUGACCUUACUGCUAGUCGUAGCAAUACAAACAGACAUGGUAUAGACAAAAUUAACAUCACACCAAACAUAAGAACAUACUGCAUAAUAAUGAUCUACGCGUUGCUACGAGAUCGUGGGAACGAGAACCACUAAAAUCGAAGUUACGUUAAGGAGUUAUAAUUUUAUAGAAGAUUUAUGUGAUUAAAAUAUUAAACUAUAUUAUAAAUUAGUUAAUAUAAAUCAUAUAAGAGCUUAUUCUAUAUAUAAUUAUCUCUACUUUAAUCUAAGUUAUAAAUUGACCAUAGAUCAUAUUCUAGUAGAUUAUAAUGAUAAGCAAUUUAACCAGACUAACCAACAUAAAUUAAAUACUUAUCUAAUUAUAAAAUAAUGAGACAUGGUAUAGUAAAUGUUGUUAUCGCAUAGUAAAUAUUUGUACGAGACUAACACAACUUGAAUGGAUCAAAUCAGAGUUAUAGAUUUUAAGUUAUGAAUUUCUAAAGAUUCUAUGUGUUUUGUACAAGAUUAAAUAGGAUAUAAAUUUUAAUGUGACUUUCAUGUCAAAACAGUGGCACUAAUUGAUAAACAAUAAUAUUAUAAAAUUAUAGGAACUAGAAUGAAUUAAUUUGGAGCUACAAUGGAUUUUCUAUGAAUUAAAUAAGUUUCUGGAAUUAUUUUAACACAAAAAAUCAUUUUCUGAUUGAAUUUCUGAAUUUUCAUAUGAUUCUUGACUACACGCCAAUUCCCAGAGAAGACAGGGGCCACGGUGUAAAAUGUUCUAAGGCUCAGUCUAAGUGUAGAGUGGGCUGUGGGUUAAUUAUCGAAGACUUGAGGGGCUCAUACGAAAAAGACGCACGACGAAGGGGUACAGUUAUAUCCUUGCUGUUGGAUCACCGAUCUACGGAUCAGAUUAGAUCCAAACCUUUCUGAACCGGUACACUAUCCUAUCCGCGGGAUCCGACAACAAGGGCCAGGAUUAAACGACGCUCCUUACGAAUCGGUGCAGAGACCCAGCCGUCGGAUCAGAGAACCACGACCCAGAUCGCGAAGUAUCCCGGCUGGUUCUUAACGGUCCGAUCUAGAUUGAGGGUCCGGAUUUAAACACCGAAGGGGUAAGACUCAUUCUAAUCUCCACCUCUCACUCACAAUUCGACGACGCGCCUAUGUUCUUCCACCACGCGAUGACCAGAGAAGGUGUAGCAGAUGCCCGUGGCGGCUCUCCACCAGCGUGCGGCGAAUCCGGCGACCCGGUACCCGAAUCCUAUGGACGAUGGGCGUUAUACACUAGAUAGAACAAGGCGAUCGUCAUGGAAGGUAGCUCACCAAUGAUGGCAUCCGGCAGAGUCCCGUCGUCGAGGAAGGAUGGCCAUGGCGGAAAUCCCCAGCUCUGGCGAACAAUUCACAUCUUGCCCGCUAUACACCGUGACCUCCACCACCACACACACGCUCGAUUUGAUCCCGCGAAGCUUCAAAGCCAUCUGCCGGUGCUGGAGCGACAACGCUCAAUGAUUUCGCCCGUGGCGGAUCAAUGAUGGCGGCUGCACUCUCCCCUCUGUCCCGCUACACAGGGCGUCUUGGUGGUUCUCAACUCGACUUCGUGGCUGCGCUGGUUUCGCGGGGCCGCAACGGAGAGGUGGUUGUGGAUUAUAUGCAGGUGAGGGCCAAUGACCGAGUCGGCUGGGUCAAGCAACCCGAUCGAUCUGUUAUAGGGAGAAGAAGGUCUGAUGAAGUGGUCCAAGGUGUCAACGACCCGGGUGGAGAAGAGCGCGCGCCACAUGAUUGACGGGCGGGCUCCACCCGUUCGGCACACCGAUGUGGCAGGAUCGACGGAAUUGAGUUGGGCUCGGUGGCAACUGGCUAGGCC
rnacentral:lncRNA from 1 species